rnacentral:lncRNA from 1 species
CAAGAACAGAACAGUAGAAAAGCCCAGGCAGAGCUGAAGACAGUGACGGAAGGGAUUAUAGCUUCUGAAGAAGAAAAAAAUGAUUACAAGUGGCCUGAAUUGAUCAAAUAUGCCAAUUGAUUCGGUAUUGGACAGUGCCAGACACCAUGAUGUUCACCAGGCAGAAGAAAGAAAAGCCACAUCAGGUGUCACAAGGCAUGAAAGCAUUAUAGUCCUUCUAGUUGUGGCAUGUGGGACGCUGCCUCAGCGUGACUUGAUGAGCAGUGCCAUGUCCGCACCCAGGAUUCGAACCAACGAAACACUGGGCCGUCUGCCUGCAGCGGAGCGCAAGAACUUAACCACUCGGCCACGGGGCCAGCCCCUGGAACACUGAUUUUCUGAUGAACCUCGAAAAAUUUCUAAUUAGGAGUUCUAUUAAAUACAAUCCAAGUUUUGUAAAAAUAUCUUUACCAAAGGACUCUGUAUUUCCACUGCAUAUGGCUUCACAUGAAUCUGAGAGUUGAGGUUCAGCAGAUAAGAAGAGAAUGUAAAGUGCAAAACGAUUCUUACCCUUAGGUGCAUAUUUCAAAUAUGUUAUUCUGUGCUUGAGGUUAAAGUAAAUUUUUGCUCAUGCAAGAAAUAAAU